rnacentral:tRNA from 1 species
GAGGGUGUAGCUCAGAGUUAGAGCGCAUGCUUAGCAUGCAUGAGGUCCUGGGUCCAAUCUCCAGCACCUCCA